rnacentral:rRNA from 1 species
GACGAACGCUGGCGGCGUGCUUAACACAUGCAAGUCGAACGGAAAGGCCCUGCUUUUGUGGGGUGCUCGAGUGGCGAACGGGUGAGUAACACGUGAGUAACCUGCCCUUGACUUAGGGAUAACUUCAGGAAACUGGGGCUAAUACCGGAUAGGAGCUCCUGCUGCAUGGUGGGGGUUGGAAAGUUUCGGCGGUUGGGGAUGGACUCGCGGCUUAUCAGCUUGUUGGUGGGGUAGUGGCUUACCAAGGCUUUGACGGGUAGCCGGCCUGAGAGGGUGACCGGCCACAUGGGGACUGAGAUACGGCCCAGACUCCUACGGGAGGCAGCAGGGGGGAAUAUUGCACAAUGGGCGGAAGCCUGAUGCAGCAACGCCGCGUGCGGGAUGACGGCCUUCGUGUUGUAAACCGCUUUCGCCUGUGACGAAGCGUGAGUGACGGUAAUGGGUAAAGAAGCACCGGCUAACUACGUG